AAAAGCCCUCUAAAGAGUAACAUUCAAAAUGUUCUCUGGCCCUGGCAAGGCAGGCAGAGGUGGAAGAGGUGAUUGCCUCCCCCCACCUCCAAGUUGCACCACCCUUUUUGCAGCUGCUGGCACUUCUGAGGGUACAGGCAGCAGGGCUACAUGUGUCCUUCCCCACGCCGCUCUCCUGUAGUGACUGUGCCGCUGCAGAGGAGGUGGGGCUUGAACUUGCCCGUGAGAAGGUUCUUGGGUCCAAGCAGAAUCUCCUUGUAGAGAAAAUGGAAUUUGUGUUGCACAAAGCUCCUCUAGAUCCAACCCUCCUGCGCACCAGCUGGAUAGCGAAGAGGCGGUGUGCCCAGUAGCCCCUGCUGAUUCAACUGUGCCACAGAAGCCUGGUGCUUGUGGUGAGGGAAAGGUGGGUCCCUUUUCACAAAAGUGUAGCAUUGCUUGGCAACACUUUGAGGUAGUUUUAGAAGGUCCCAAAUACAUUGCCUGCCUGCAUGGCAAGGCAAGAGUCAGCAGAAGGGAAAAGGAAAAGAGCUGUGUAAACACCACUGGGAUGGUACCAGAGGACUGGAAAGUGGUCAAUAUAACAGCAGUUUUUAAAAAUGGAUCCAGAGAGGAUCUGGGUAACUACAGGCCAGUUGGCUGUUCUGAGUAAGCUGACAGAAAAUAUUAUUAAAGAGAAAAUUAUCAAGCAAGUAUAUAGAAGAGCAGGCCUUGCUGAGGAAAAACCAACACAGUUUCUGCAAGGUUAAGUCUUGUCUUACUAACUUCCUGGACUUUUAAACGAUAAAAAAGAACCUACCAGUUUUCAAAAUCUCACCCUAAACGAGUUAGAAACGAUUCUUCUGCAGUAAGAUAACAUAUUAAAGCAUGUGGAAGCAGUCUUCACAUGAGGAGUCCAACAUGGGCUGAAGCUGGCCUGCUGACUACUCCCCACAGCACUAUGUACUGAAUCGUCUUGAGAACAAACCCUCAGGCUUAUCCAGUCUAGCCGUGUCAACUGUUUGGCAGGUGCACAAAACCAAUGUACAACAGCAGGCCCCAACAUAUUCCUGCACACAGAAGUCUGAGGAUCAGGGCAAACAGGAAUGAAGCGAGGCAAGGCCUGUCACUUGGUAUUCAUGGCUCCCAAUACUUCCAGUGAAUCUUCAAGAAGCACCCACUGUCUUCAGCAGACAUUCUUGUUAUUCAUUUUAGUACAUCCCAGCUACUAAUCCCUUUCCCCCACUUUCUGGGAACAUUCAUCACACCAUUUCACCCCAUCACACUUUUCCACAGCAGGCUAGCCUGCACAACUGCUCGCAGGUGGACAGGCUGGCAAGCCUAAUGCUCUGCGUGUUUUCUUAUAGCAAGCACACAGCAAAAGCUUCACACAGAAAUACUACCAGCCAAGCAAGAGAAAGGGAAA